rnacentral:rRNA from 1 species
GACGAACGCUGACGGCGUGCUUAACACAUGCAAGUCGAGCGGUAAGGCCCUUUCGGGGGUACACGAGCGGCGAACGGGUGAGUAACACGUGGGUGACCUGCCCUCAGCUCUGGGAUAAGCCUGGGAAACUGGGUCUAAUACUGGAUAUGACUCCACGGUGCAUGUCGUGGGGUGGAAAGCCUUGUGCGGCUGAGGAUGGGCCCGCGGCCUAUCAGCUUGUUGGUGGGGGAUGGCCUACCAAGGCGACGACGGGUAGCCGGCCUGAGAGGGCGACCGGCCACACUGGGACCGAGACACGGCCCAGACUCCUACGGGAGGCAGCAGUGGGGAAUCUUGCGCAAUGGGCGAAAGCCUGACGCAGCGACGCCGCGUGAGGGAUGACGGCCUGGUGUAAC